rnacentral:rRNA from 1 species
CCUACGGGAGGCAGCAGUGGGGAAUCUUGCGCAAUGGGGGCAACCCUGACGCAGCCAUGCCGCGUGAAUGAUGAAGGCCUUAGGGUUGUAAAGUUCUUUUGCCCGUGACGAUGAUGACGGUAACGGGAGAAUAGGCUCCGGCUAACUUCGUGCCAGCAGCCGCGGUAAUACGAAGGGGGCUAGCGUUGUUCGGAAUUACUGGGCGUAAAGCGCGCGCAGGCGGUUCGAUAAGUUAGGGGUGAAAUCCCUGGGCUCAACCCAGGAAUGGCCUUUAAGACUGUCGAGCUAGAGGACGAGAGAGGUGAGUGGAAUUCCCAGUGUAGAGGUGAAAUUCGUAGAUAUUGGGAAGAAUACCGGUGGCGAAGGCGGCUCACUGGCUCGUUUCUGACGCUGAGGCGCGAAAGCGUGGGGAACAAACAGGAUUAGAUACCCUGGUAGUCCACGCCCUAAACGAUGAGUGCCAGGUGUCGGGAAGCUUAGCUUCUCGGCGCCGCAGCUAACGCCUUAAGCNCUCCGCCGUCGGGAGGUACGGCCGCCGACGGUUAAACGUACGAAAUAGAAGUAGACGGCGUGUAGACGUUGCCGACGGACGACGACGAGGGAGGAGG